UACAGAGGUCUCAAGCGUUGUUCGGAUUCAUUGGGCGUAAAGGGCGCGUAGGCGGCGGGGUAAGUCGGGUGUGAAAUCUCAGGGCUCAACCCUGAAACUGCACUCGAUACUGCUCUGCUUGAGGACUGGAGAGGAGACUGGAAUUCACGGUGUAGCAGUGAAAUGCGUAGAGAUCGUGAGGAAGACCAGUGGCGAAGGCGGGUCUCUGGACAGUUCCUGACGCUGAGGCGCGAAGGCCAGGGGAGCAAAGCGGG
rnacentral:rRNA from 1 species